UUUUCUUUCUUGCAUAGUAAAAACAGGUUGGUGUGCACCACAUAAGCAGGAAAGGAGAGUGAAAGGGUGAGGGGGAUAGUGAAACCAAGAAGGAUAGUGAGGAGCAAAAUGGAGGAAAUGAGAGUGAAGCCGAGGAAGACGAUAAAAGGAGAGCAAAGUCCAGAGAAGACCAGUAUCACGGUCUUAUUAUACCUAGGGAACCUAGAUGGGAAUUUUGACCAAGGGUGAAGUAGAAUGGUGUACUUAGAUAGGGGCAUCUUACAUAUUUGUAAUUAAAGUUUUUGCAGUUGGAUAUGUACAC
rnacentral:lncRNA from 1 species